GAACAAUAUUUAUGGCACAUUUAUGCAUAAUAAUCCCAAACUAGAAACAACUCAAGAGUCCAUCAUUACAGAAUGAAAUAAACAAAAUAUGACUUACUCAUAUGAUGAAAUGGUACUGGACGUUAAAAGAAAAUGAACUACCGGCCAGGUGCGGUGGCUCACGCCUGUAACCCCAGCACUUUGGGAGGUUGAGGUAGGCGGAUGAACUGAGGUUGGGAGUUCAAGACCAGCCUGACCAACAUGGAGAAA
rnacentral:lncRNA from 10 species